UACGUACCGCACAAACGUUAUUCGGAAUCACUGGGCUUAAAGGGUGCGUAGGCGGCCUAGCAGGUGGGGUGUGAAAUCCCUCGGCUCAACCGAGGAACUGCGCUCCAAACCGUUAGGCUUGAGGAAGGCAGAGGUGAGCGGAACUGAUGGUGGAGCGGUGAAAUGCGUUGAUAUCAUCAGGAACACCAGUGGCGAAGGCGGCUCACUGGGCCUUUUCUGACGCUGAGGCACGAAAGCUAGGGUAGCGAACGGG
rnacentral:misc_RNA from 1 species